rnacentral:rRNA from 1 species
UACGAAGGGUGCAAACGUUGCUCGGAAUCAUUGGGCGUAAAGCGCACGUAGGCGGCUUCGCAAGUCGGAUGUGAAAUCCCUCGGCUCAACCGAGGACGUGCAUACGAAACUGCGGAGCUUGAGUGCUGAAGAGGAUCGCGGAAUUCCCGGUGUAGAGGUGAAAUUCGUAGAUAUCGGGAGGAACACCAGUGGCGAAGGCGGCUCACUGGACAGUAACUGACGCUGAUGCACGAAAGCUAGGGGAGCAAACAGG